UAGGGAAUCUUCGGCAAUGGGGGCAAACCCUGACCGAGCAACGCCGCGUGAGUGAAGAAGGUUUUCGGAUCGUAAAGCUCUGUUGUAAGAGAAGAACGUGUGUGAGAGUGGAAAGUUCACACAGUGACGGUAACUUACCAGAAAGGGACGGCUAACUACGUGCCAG
rnacentral:rRNA from 1 species